CCUGCCCUGAGGCAGGAACAGGCCUUACUUGUUUACUUAGCACACAGCCGAGUGCUUACUGUGAACCAGGUGCUAUGGAUCAAGUGUGAGGAGGUGACAGCCCUGGAAAAUGAAUCCAGAUGGGAUUGAGACUUUGGCCUGCUGAGCCCGAGCAAGCGUGGUUUUCCCGUUGAUGUCGCCCUGCAGACAUGACCUGGACAGAGCUACUUGGGAGGCUGGGAUCACACCAUCCAUGCUCACAUGCUCUCUGGAGCCCUCCUGAGCACAUGUUGCUUGAGUGUGGGGCUGAGAGCUGAAGGACUGGAUGCCCCCUUCUCCAGGACCUUCGGGGGCUUUUGCUGGGCAUGUGCCCACCCACCCACUGUGACCUGUUGACCUGGUGAUGUUCAUUCCCUGGAAGAGGCCAUCUCACUUGUUUCCUCUCUGGAUUCCUCCUUGGAGUGUUGGAAGGUGAGAGGAAGUGAGGA